rnacentral:rRNA from 1 species
UGGGUAACCUGCCUGUAAGACUGGGAUAACUCCGGGAAACCGGGGCUAAUACCGGAUGCUUGAUUGAACCGCAUGGUUCAAUCAUAAAAGGCGGCUUCGGCUGCCGUUUACAGAUGGACCCGCGGCGCAUUAGCUAGUUGGUGAGGUAACGGCUCACCAAGGCGACGAUGCGUAGCCGACCUGAGAGGGUGAUCGGCCACACUGGGACUGAGACACGGCCCAGACUCCUACGGGAGGCAGCAGUAGGGAAUCUUCCGCAAUGGACGAGAGUCUGACGGAGCAACGCCGCGUGAGUGAUGAAGGUUUUCGGAUCGUAGAGCUCUGUUGUUAGGGAAGAACAAGUACCGUUCGAAUAGGGCGGUACCUUGACGGUACCUAACCAGAGAGCCACGGCUAACUACGUGCCAGCAGCCGC